ACUCCAUUGGGCAGAUUGUGUUGACACAGACACCAGAGGCCCUGGCAGUGUCUCCAGGAGACACAGUCACUAUCCACUGCAAAGCCAGUUCCAACACUUAUACGAACCUGGUCUGGUACAAACAGAAAUCAGGACAAGCGCCUAAGCUAUUUAUCUAUGGUGCAUCCACCCGUCCCUCUGGGAUCCCAGACCGGUUCAGCGGCAGUGGGUCUGGCACUGAUUUCACAUUCACCAUCAGCAGGGUUGAAGCAGAGGAUUCUGGAGAUUAUUACUGUCAGCAGCAUGCUAGCUUCCCUCUCACACAGUGA